UCGCUGUGAAGAUGCAGUGUACCCGCGGCAAGACGGAAAGACCCCGUGAACCUUUACUAUAGCUUGACACUGAACAUUGAGCCUUGAUGUGUAGGAUAGGUGGGAGGCUUUGAAGUGUGGACGCCAGUCUGCAUGGAGCCGACCUUGAAAUACCACCCUUUAAUGUUUGAUGUUCUAACGUUGACCCGUGAUCCGGGUUGCGGACAGUGUCUGGUGGGUAGUUUGACUGGGGCGGUCUCCUCCUAAAGAGUAACGGAGGAGCACGAAGGUUGGCUAAUCCUGGUCGGACAUCAGGAGGUUA
rnacentral:rRNA from 1 species